GGGUAGCUGGAUUUUGCUAUGGAUGGUGAAUUGAGUCAGGAUUUGAUCUUGUAGUCUCUUUCUGACUCUUUUUCUUAGUUUGUUAUUAAUUAUUAUAUGAACAAACUGAACAUAAGCUUGCUUAAACUGCUGAAUAUGUUGAAAAUAAUAGAGAGCCAUUUCAAGGGUGAAAAGGUCCAGGUUCUUUUUGUUGAUAAGAUCGGCA
rnacentral:lncRNA from 1 species